rnacentral:lncRNA from 1 species
ACAAAUAGUGCAUGAUUUUCAUUUACAUAAGCUCCUUUUGGAGUGGAAAAUAAUAAAUAUCUUUUUUUUCUUUUUCUUUUUCUUUCCCACUCGCCUGUACAGAAUAUUGAAGCCACUGGAGUAAAUGAAGCCACAUACAACAACGUUCAGAACAGACCCUUUCUUUCCCACUCCACAGUACUUCUCAGUCCUCUUCCACUUGCUGGACAGGCAGAUGUGCUGUGAACCACUGAGAUAAACCAAUAUGUAUGAGGGGAAAAAAGGCAACCACUCACUUUUCUGCAAGAUCCAUCCAUGUUUCACAUCAUAGUGUGACUGCACAAACUGAC